AAUAUUUAUGAUUUAAUUGGUUUUAUUAUAAUUCCAAUUAUUAAAGAAAGAUGAGUAAGAAUAUUGUUGGUGUUCUUAACUCAAGAGAAAUGUUUUCAAUUAUUUAUUCAUUAAAUUUUGAAAACCCGGCUAAGUGAAUCAUAGAAUAUUAAGCACUACACCAUGACUUAAGAUUAGAAUUCAAGGAGACCUAUUGAGAAUAGAUUUCUUGUAGGCUUUGAGCAUCAGGAGGAUUAGCACUGCUAUUCCGAUUCAGAAAUAAAGUUAAACGACAGGCUUUGCCUAGACAGGUUAAUGGCUGGUGAUGACGGGGCAGAGCUGAGGCUAGAGUUCAACUCCUUAUUUUAAUUUCCGCUGCAGAACUAGCCAGUAUCUGUCUUUUGUUCCUUAACUUAAGACCUAUUAUGUUGUGAUUCUAAAAACAAUAUCUUUUGUUGAACCUAGACUAUUAACUCUCAAAUAUUUU